rnacentral:rRNA from 1 species
CCUACGGGAGGCAGCAGUGGGGAAUAGUGCACAAUGGGGGAAACCCUGAUGCAGCGACGCCGCGUGAGUGAAGAAGUAAUUCGUUAUGUAAAGCUCUAUCAGCAGGGAAGAAAAUGACGGUACCUGAGUAAGAAGCCCCGGCUAACUACGUGCCAGCAUCCGCGGUAAUACGUAGGGGGCAAGCGUUAUCCGGAUUUACUGGGUGGAAAGGGAGCGUAGACGGCAGUGAAAGUCUGGAGUGAAAGGCGGGGGCUCAACCCCCGGACUGCUCUGGAAACUGUACGGCUGGAGUGCAGGAGAGGUAAGUGGAAUUCCUAGUGUAGCGGUGAAAUGCGUAGAUAUUAGGAGGAACACCAGUGGCGAAGGCGGCUUACUGGACUGUAACUGACGUUGAGGCUCGAAAGCGUGGGGAGCAAACAGGAUUAGAUACCCGGGUAGUC